CCAGGAGAUGAGCAGGGCAGCCUGGAACGCAGUGCUUCUUGAGCAUAAGGACAUCACAGGUUCCUCUGAACAUCUAAAGCAACUCUCCACUGGACCCAACCAGUACUGCAUUUGCACCAAUGUACUCAAUAUGAAGCAACUGGACUGCUUAUACACAGCAAAAGGAAGAGGUAAUGGGAACUGCACAGAGAGGCAAGAAAAAGCCCCAAAAUCCAAAAAGCAGCAAGCUGCCAAGCCAAGUAACCACACUGCCUCCUGCUGCUGUCACUCAGAGCUAGAAUCUGAGUAGGAGAACCCAACAGCCUCUCACCUUUUACAGAACUAGCUAAAAGAGAACCUCAGGGUGACAGAAUCCUAUGAAAUGAAUGGAUGUACUCUGGAAAGCGAAGUUCCUCUCUGCACCUUCUGCCCUAAUUGUUGUCUUCUCUGUUUGCUUUAUUGUUUGGUAAACCAGUGCUUACUAUCACCUUUACUACGUGAUGUAUGGGAGUAUAGAGUAUAUUUUCUUGUUAUACAAG
rnacentral:lncRNA from 1 species